GCCAUUUUAGCAUUCACUAACUGAAACACUGUAAUAACUUCAAUUAUUAAACAUCACAUCAUUCAGGCAUAUAAUAAUGUGUUGAGCAUUUGAAUAUAUAGUAUCUUUUCGAUUCCACUCAGGCUUCGAGACUCCGAGAUGAAGCAUUAUUGUGUAGCGGGUUUGGGCCUCCAAGAGUUAUACGGGGAUCCUUCCUAUUCCCCUCAAGCCUUCAACGCAUGGAGGAGGAGGUGCUUGAUUAUGUAGCGGGUUUGGGCCUCCAGAAACUGUACGGAGGAUUCUUUCAGUUCCACUCGAUCCUUCAAUGCUUAGAGGAGGAGGUGCUUUAUUAUGUAUUGGGUUUGGGCCUCCAGGAACUGUACGGAGGAUUUUUUGAGUUCCACUCAAGUAUUCAAUGUUUAGAGGAGGAGGUGCUUGAUUAUGUAAUGGGUUUGGGCCUCUAGAAACUGUACGGAGGAUCUUUUCA
rnacentral:lncRNA from 1 species